GUGCUCACACUGGGACAGGCAGGAUCAUCUGUAAGCAGAGGAACAGGCAGAGCAGGAAACUUCAUGGAGGGAUCUAGGGGCAUAGAAUGCUUGCCUGCUCUCCUCUCCCAUCUUGAAGUCUGUUUGUAAUAUCUUGCCACACCCCAUCAGGGCUUUCCAGAUUUUCCCAUGAGCAUGCACCCAAAUGUAGAGGAGAAGGAGUGACCCUCAGUGGCUGUGUCAGCUACAGCUUGACUUGGAGCUAGCAUCGUUUCUGUCUAAGAUACCAUGCCUUGCUGUGUAUCCUUAUAAAAUGUGAAGCUUCUGGACAAGCUGGGAUCAUUUGGGGCCUGCUCUGUCUAUUGAACUUUGACUAGCUUCAGUGAAAGGCUGUGUCUCAGAUCUCUACUCUUGGAGUGUAUCCAUUCCUGGGCCGUGAACCGGAGCAAGCCUGUCUCUGCCUGAAAUAUGGCUGUGCCAUGGACUUUGUCUCAGAGUCUUGAAGAGCUGCUCUGAACAUCCAGGCUAAUUUACUAGCUGAUAGAUUCUAAAUCUAUCAGUACCGACAAACAUGACAAGGACACAAGCUUGAACACAUGGCUGUUUAUCAGACGUGUGGUGGGACAGUGCUUUAAGUCACUGUUUGUUUACCACAUGAGGCACUGGUUGGUGCUUCCAAGGUGGCACUAGUGUUAAAGAAUUUGCCUGCCGAUGCAAGAGAUGUGCGGCAUAGGUUUGAUCCCUGCGUCGCGAAGAUCUCCUGGAGAAGGGAAUGGCUACCCACUUCAGUAUUCUUGCCUGGAGAAUUCCAUGGAGAGAGGAGUCUGGUAGGCUACUGUCCACAAGGUCACAGAGUCAGACAUGACUGAAGAGACUUAGCACAAAGGCACAGGCACAUCGUGGUUUUAGGAAACUUGACCUGUUCACUGUAAUAAUGCGUAGUUGGGAACUGAGAAAAGAGUGAAAGGCAGAAAAGCCAUUUAAUACAUUCACAUCUGCAUGUUGUAUGUCCAUUUAAUGUCCCCAUAUUUGAGUGGUUGGGAGAGGUGGGGGAUGCACACAGAUAACUUUUCAUAAAUAUCAGUAGACUUUCACUCUUGCUAGAUAUUUUCACCGAAGAUAAGUUUUAAAAUUAGUAGAGAACCAUAUUUGGUAAAUAUUGUUGUAAUCAUUUUGGAGACAAGGAAACUGAGACUCAGAGCAUCAUCUGUGCAAGUGCAAACAGCUAACAAGGAAAAGAGCCAGCUCUGAACCCACACAUCUGUGCAAUUCAGAGAUGCUGGCUUUUCCCCUCUGUCAUUUAUCUGCCUGCUAUCUGUGUCUAAAAGGGGGGCAAUAAACAAACUAGCUCAGUUUUCAGAAAAUGUACAGUGUCAAUUGUUUAGUAUAGAUUUUAUACUGACUGGAUGUCACCAUAUGCUUGUUUUUCUUUGCAAAAAACACACUGUCCAGGAGAUAGGGUCUCUCAGAAGGUGCACAGUGGCCAGGUUGUCCUCUCAUUGGAAGUACUAUAGAAGGUAGAAUUGUAUAAAAAAGUAAUCUGGUAUGGUGCUAGGCAAAAAGGAAUUCUGAAAGCCCUGGCUCAAGCAGAAAGUCAAUACAUUAAGAGCCAGAAAUCACCAAGGAGCAAUGUGCUUGGAAACUCAAUACAGUAAUAAGUAACUCAGUACCGUGUCUGGGAAAGAUCCCUUAUUGUUCACCAAAAAAUGUUAAUGCACUGCCCUUCAGUGUCAGUCAGUCCUGCAUUUUAAAAUAUACACAUAAAACAAAUCAAUGAGAGGAUUUUUCCCUCCUAGAAGUUUGCCACACAGUCUUGAUGAUAUUAUCAAGGCAAAAACUCUAUGGGACUAUUUAACAACCCUGGAUGCUUUUAUUGUAAAAUGGAUAUUGAGUACAUUCAGAAUAUGCAUUUUUGUGAGAGGUUUAUAAUCACAUACAUGUAACUAAAAUUUACAAGAAUAAAAAGAAUGACAUCUUGUCAUUUGCAGUGACAUGGAUGGACCCUGAGGGUAUUCUGCUAAGUGAAAUAAGUCAGACAAGGAAAGAUAUCAUAUGAUCUCAACUUAAAUGUGGAAUCUAAAACAAACAAAAAAAUUUCAUACAUACAGCGAACAGAUUGGAGGUUGCCUGAGGUGGGGUGUAGGCAUGUAGACCAAAUGGGUGGAGGUGAUCAAAAUGUACAGACUUCCAGUUAUAAAAGUUCCCUGGUGGCUCAGAUGGUAAAGAAUCUGCCUGCAAUGUUUGUGUGUGUUAGGCUGAUUCUUUACCACUAGUGCCACCUAGGAAGCCACUUUCACUUUCAUGAAUAUCUAUUGCAAAGCAUGGCUACUAUAAUUAAUAAUACUGUAUUGUAUAUGUGAAAGUGGCUAAGAGAGUAAAUAUUAAGACUUCUCAUUACACACACACAGAAGAAUCAGUAACU